rnacentral:rRNA from 1 species
AUUGAACGCUGGCGGCAGGCCUAACACAUGCAAGUCGAGCGAGCGGCGGACGGGUGAGUAAUGUCUGGGAAACUGCCUGAUGGAGGGGGAUACCUACUGGAAACGGUAGCUAAUACAGCAUACGAUCGGAUUUGCCCCGAUGGGGUUAGCUAGUAGGUGGGGUAACGGCUCACCUAGGCGACGAUCCCUAGCUGGUCUGAGAGGAUGACCAGCCACAUUGGAACGGAGACACGGGCCAGACUCCUACGGGAGGCAGCAGUGGGGAAUAUUGAACAAUGGGCGCAAGCCUGAUGCAGCCAUGCCGCGUGUAUGAAGAAGGCCUUCGGGUUGUAAAGUACUUUCAGCGAGGAGGCGUUACCCGCAGAAGAAGCACCGGCUAACUCCGUGCCAGCAGCCGCGGUAAUAC